rnacentral:rRNA from 1 species
CACGUAGGGUGCGAGCGUUGUCCGGAAUUAUUGGGCGUAAAGAGCUCGUAGGCGGUGUGUCGCGUCGGCCGUGAAAACCUGCAGCUUAACUGUGGGCUUGCGGUCGAUACGGGUAUCACUGGAGUUCGGCAGGGGAGACUGGAAUUCCUGGUGUAGCGGUGAAAUGCGCAGAUAUCAGGAGGAACACCGGUGGCGAAGGCGGGUCUCUGGGCCGAUACUGACGCUGAGGAGCGAAAGCGUGGGGAGCGAACAGG